rnacentral:rRNA from 1 species
GACGGAGGAUGCAAGCGUUAUCCGGAAUUAUUGGGCGUAAAGCGUACGUAGGCUGCUAAUUAAGUCUGUUGUCAAAGCGCGAGGCUCAACCUUGUAAAGGCAAUGGAAACUGAAUAGCUAGAGAGAGAUAGGGGCAGGAGGAAUUCCAGGUGUAGCGGUGAAAUGCGUAGAUAUCUGGAAGAACACCAGUGGCGAAAGCGUCCUGCUGGAUCUCAACUGACGCUGAAGUACGAAAGCUAGGGGAGCGAAUGGG